GCUUUUGAUGGGCGUCGACCGGCGCACGGGUGAGUAACGCGUAUCCAACCUGCCCACCACUUGGGGAUAACCUUGCGAAAGUAAGACUAAUACCCAAUGAUAUCUCUAGAAGACAUCUGAAAGAGAUUAAAGAUUUAUCGGUGAUGGAUGGGGAUGCGUCUGAUUAGCUUGUUGGCGGGGUAACGGCCCACCAAGGCAACGAUCAGUAGGGGUUCUGAGAGGAAGGUCCCCCACAUUGGAACUGAGACACGGUCCAAACUCCUACGGGAGGCAGCAGUGAGGAAUAUUGGUCAAUGGACGAGAGUCUGAACCAGCCAAGUAGCGUGCAGGAUGACGGCCCUAUGGGUUGUAAACUGCUUUUAUAAGGGAAUAAAGUGAGUCUCGUGAGACUUUUUGCAUGUACCUUAUGAAUAAGGACCGGCUAAUUCCGUGCCAGCAGCCGCGGUAAUACGGAAGGUCCGGGCGUUAUCCGGAUUUAUUGGGUUUAAAGGGAGCGUAGGCCGGAGAUUAAGCGUGUUGUGAAAUGUAGAUGCUCAACAUCUGCACUGCAGCGCGAACUGGUUUCCUUGAGUACGCGCAAAGUGGGCGGAAUUCGUGGUGUAGCGGUGAAAUGCUUAGAUAUCACGAAGAACUCCGAUUGCGAAGGCAGCUCACUGGAGCGCAACUGACGCUGAAGCUCGAAAGUGCGGGUAUCGAACAGGAUUAGAUACCCUGGUAGUCCGCACGGUAAACGAUGGAUGCCCGCUGUUGGUCUGAAUAGGUCAGCGGCC
rnacentral:rRNA from 1 species